CUAGAAAGACAGGCCUUGAUCCUGUAAAAUUUUAGUUAACAGCUAAAAACUCCAUCCAGCGAGCUUCUUCCUA
rnacentral:tRNA from 1 species